rnacentral:rRNA from 1 species
UGAGUAACACGUGGGUGAUCUGCCCUGCACUUUGGGAUAAGCCUGGGAAACUGGGUCUAAUACCGGAUAGGACCAUGGGAUGCAUGUCUUGUGGUGGAAAGCUUUUGCGGUGUGGGAUGGGCCCGCGGCCUAUCAGCUUGUUGGUGGGGUGAUGGCCUACCAAGGCGACGACNGGUAGCCGGCCUGAGAGGGUGUCCGGCCACACUGGGACUGAGAUACGGCCCAGACUCCUACGGGAGGCAGCAGUGGGGAAUAUUGCACAAUGGGCGCAAGCCUGAUGCAGCGACGCCGCGUGGGGGAUGACGGCCUUCGGGUUGUAAACCCCUUUCAGUACCGACGAAGCGUAAGUGACGGUAGGUACAGAAGAAGCACCGGCCAACUACGUGCCAGCAGCCGCGGUAAUACGUAGGGUGCGAGCGUUGUCCGGAAUUACUGGGCGUAAAGAGCUCGUAGGUGGUUUGUCGCGUUGUCCGUGAAAACUCACAACUCAAUUGUGGGCGUGCGGGCGAUACGGGCAGACUGGAGUACUGCAGGGGAGACUGGAAUUCCUGGUGUAGCGGUGGAAUGCGCAGAUAUCAGGAGGAACACCGGUGGCGAAGGCGGGUCUCUGGGCAGUAACUGACGCUGAGGAGCGAAAGCGUGGGGAGCGAACAGGAUUAGAUACCCUGGUAGUCCACGCCGUAAACGGUGGGUACUAGGUGUGGGUUUCCUUCCUUGGGAUCCGUGCCGUAGCUAACGCAUUAAGUACCCCGCCUGGGGAGUACGGCCGCAAGGCUAAAACUCAAAGGAAUUGACGGGGGGCCCGCACAA